AAGGAACAAACCAGAGUGGGGAGUGGGAGGAUGUCAUUCAGGAUGUAGAUAGACCUAAUUACAGUAGCUGCUCCAGAGACAUAUUGUCUAGCAAUCCAGGAGAGGCAGAUGGGAAGCCAUUCCAGAGAGCCUGUCCAUCACAGAAAAAUGUUUCCAGGCUUCAGCCUCUCCAACCUCCCAAAACUGGGACAAUCAGCAGCUUCUGCCUGCUCAGCCGAAGUGGCCAGACUGACUCUAGUGGGAAAAUGCAGCCCUGCAGAUAAUUUGGCACUAAGCCAUAAUACAGGUUAAAACAGCAAUACAGACUGCUUUUUCACUAAUGGGAACUCUUCACUCACCAGCAUCCUGGCUCUGAACCUCAGCAUCUGUUCCUGCUCCUGUCUGCAAGCACAGGAUCUACACAUUUGGAAGUGCUUCAGAAACAAACAUGAGCAUAACACCUCUCCGCUCUUUAUUAAAGCAUGCAUGUCUUUUUUCAAACUAUGUGUAAGUCUGAAAAAAGACGGUCUGCUUUUAGAAUCACAUUAAAGAUGCAGUGAUUUAA